AGAAGCAAACAAUUUAACAAAACUACCAGAAGGCAAUGGGAACAGGGCAACUAGCAAGUGAGGAGUUGUACUGCCUCGAGCACCGUCCGCAAGACGGUAGCUGUGCCAGAGAAAGAUGCUCCAAAAGAAGACACUAGUUCAACAGCAUAAUUACUCUGUGCUGACUGCACAUUCCUACAUGACUGCUGAAUCCUACAGCAAUGAGACUAAGGACCAUGGGAAGAGCCAGCAGCAUUUCCUGGAAUGAGCGCCGAUGAUGAGAACUGAAAGUCCUUGCCAAAAUAUGGCAUGCUACGAACUGACAGCUAACAUCAGGUCCAGUGGAAUAGAUGCUGGCCACACAAAAUAUCUCAAAGCAGAUCUAUCAGUCUUUGAAGCUCAGAGAUCGAAUGUACUGUAAUAUUCAUGGCGUAACAUUUUAUAAGGCAGCUGAAGACCUCUGGGUUGAAUCCAACUACCUGAGAUGUGUCGGCUUGUAAAUACUUCUUCUGUUCUUUUCCUCUGUGCUAUUUGGAACAGCCCUCUGCUUUCAUGCCUGCGUAUAUACAAUUUGCAGAUGGUAUCACCACCACUGCAGGGCAUUCUAUCCCUGUUAUUAGUUUAUUUACUGCAUUUAUACCCUCUCUCUCCAAUGGGGAUCCAAAGUGGCUUACAUAAUUCUUGUCUCCAGUUUAUCCAUGAGGAAGGAUAGGCUGAGAGUGUGUGACUGGGCCAAAGUUACCCAGCUAGUUUGUGUGGCAGAGUGGGGCUUUGAACCUAGGGCUCCCAGAUCCUAACCCAACACACCAAUCCCUACACCAUACUGCCUCUAUCUUUCUUUCCUUUUCUAUACAACUAUUAAAACGUAUGGAAGCUC